UGGGGAAUUUUGGACAAUGGGGGAAACCCUGAUCCAGCCAUCCCGCGUGUGCGAUGAAGGCCUUCGGGUUGUAAAGCACUUUUGGCAGGAAAGAAACGUCAUGGGUUAAUACCCCGUGAAACUGACGGUACCUGCAGAAUAAGCACCGGCUAACUACGUGCCAGCAGCCGCGGUAAUACGUAGGGUGCAAGCGUUAAUCGGAAUUACUGGGCGUAAAGCGUGCGCAGGCGGUUCGGUAAGAAAGAUGUGAAAUCCCAGAGCUCAACUUUGGAACUGCAUUUUUAACUACCGGGCUAGAGUGUGUCAGAGGGAGGUGGAAUUCAGCGUGUAGCAGUGAAAUGCGUAGAUAUGCGGAGGAACACCGAUGGCGAAGGCAGCCUCCUGGGAUAACACUGACGCUCAUGCACGAAAGCGUGGGGAGCAAACAGG
rnacentral:rRNA from 1 species